rnacentral:rRNA from 1 species
GAUGAACGCUAGCGGCAGGCUUAAUACAUGCAAGUCGAGGGGCAGCACGGGGGCAACCCUGGCGGCGAGCGGCGAACGGGUGAGUAACAUAUCGGAACGUACCCUGUCGUGGGGGAUAACUAUCCGAAAGGAUAGCUAAUACCGCAUACGACCUGAGGGUGAAAGCGGGGGACCGCAAGGCCUCGUGCGAUAGGAGCGGCCGAUAUCGGAUUAGCUAGUUGGUGAGGUAAAGGCUCACCAAGGCGACGAUCCGUAGCGGGUCUGAGAGGACGACCCGCCACACUGGAACUGAGACACGGUCCAGACUCCUACGGGAGGCAGCAGUGGGGAAUUUUGGACAAUGGGGGCAACCCUGAUCCAGCCAUUCCGCGUGAGUGAAGAAGGCCUCGGUUGUAA